CAGGAGUCCCCGGAAACCUCUCCUUGGGAUUACUAUUUGGUCUCACCUUUGCUUUUGCUGAAGCAGUCGGUGUCAUGUAAUUCGGGACAGAAAACGGGGGGCAGCUCAUCAGGCUGUCAUCAUCUUUCAGUGGUACGUCAAAUGUUGAAUCUGCUGCACUAUUUCUUGGUCUUGAAUAUUUCAUCAAAUUUGAGUUGCUUGUUGGUGGUGUUCUACUAGGAGUAAACAUUUGUCUUGUUCGCAAAGGUACAGUUGAUUUUGGUGUGGGAGUUUCAAAAUUGUCAUACCCCGAAUUAUGUUGCCUGUAGUUGCUUGAUUGAGGUCGAGGGCUGGGCUUGUUCUCUGGAGUUGACCUUAAAGGUGUCAGAAGAAAAUUUUUCAUGGGUUGGGUUUCUGAGGGAUUCGCGGAAGGGAGCUGACGUUCCAUCCAGGUCCACCACCAAGGAAAUCCACCUGAUCUGAAAUCCAUUAGAGGUGUUUGACCGGAUUUCUGAUUUCCCUUCAUCAACUGAUGGCAGAGAGAUCAAAUGUUAGAAGGCGAACAAGAUUCAAAUGUUACAAGAACAGAAUAUUGAAAGAGAUGAGAUACUUGUUUUCUCCCCUUUUAAAAACCUAUAGCGCACUUAAAGCCCAAUUCCACCAUGAAGUGAAUGUAAAGUUCAACUGGACUAGUGUAGCUUCUAUGUUAUAAUGUAAUUAGCGAUGACUGGCCAAAACAAGGUGUACAGUACCUGGUGGGAAUAUGCAUACGCUAUGGCUCUUUCCCUCUUGACAAUUGCCUCGACCUUUUUCUGCAUUCUUGCCUCAACUUCCUNNNNNNNNNNNNNNNNNNNNNNNNNNNNNNNNNNNNNNNNNNNNNNNNNNNNNNNNNNNNNNNNNNNNNNNNNNNNNNNNNNNNNNNNNNNNNNNNNNNNUAUAUAUAUAUAUAUAUAUGUAUAUGUGAGCGGUUCGCAUGUGAACACUGCAGAUAAAAUCGUCGCUAAACUCGUCGUUAUAAGAUCUGAACCGUUUUGAUAGCCCAUAACUGUCGUUAUAGUCCGGUUCAGACCCUAUGCCCCUAUGACGACGGGUUUAUCGACGAUUUUAUCCGUCGCUAAAGAUGGUCCCGCAUGCAAAUCACCUACAUAGAAAGCGGACUAUAUAUAUAUAUGUAUAUAUAUAUGAGAUGUUUGCACCAAUUUAUUGUAUGGCUUUCAAGACUAGAGAAAAGUAUGAUGUCAUAUAUAUUUGGAAUUUUUGGAUAUUUUACAUUAACUGAAAAUUUAGCUUCUCUUUUAUUAAAAAAAAGAAGAUAAAUUCAUGACAUUUUUGUAAUGUGAAUUUUAACUAGACUACAUUGAUGAGUUGUAUUCAUGAGUAAUUUUAAUUAAAAUAUAGAGCAAUGGUAGAUAAUUAGACAAAAAUCGUUUUAGCUAGUUUAUCUGUAAAUAUUUUGUUUACGACCAUAUGUGGUGUAUGUAUAUCCUAGUGGUAAAGAGUUCUUUUUUUACUAUGUAAGUGUUAAGAAAGUAUAAUGAAUACAGAAAAAUAAGACAAAAGAUUGAUACGGGUAGUUCCUGUCUUUAAGGUGUUUAUUGCCUCUUACCAUUAAAGUUUGCUAAAGGCUACUAACAAUAUACCUCCAGGAUUAAUGUCACAACAUAUCUUUGUUCUGAGUUAUAGCAAUUCACUCUGAACCUCAAAUAUAUGCUGCUGUGUAAAGAUGAUAGAUAGAAGAAGAUGAAGAUUAUUCAGUUUCGUAACUGAAAUGUGAGUUAUGAAUCAUUUGCAAUAUAAAGAUAUAAUAAUCACAUUAGUUUGGCAUCCCAUAAUGAUUAAACAAAAACUAUUUAAUCAUUAAUGAAGUUAAUUAAUCUGGUUCAAUGCAAAAAAGAGGCUCUUGACUCCUAGCAACAAUGCGUACGUGCACCUAAAGCGCCAAUGCAACUUUGCGAACCCGCACCACGGCCCCUGGGUCACGGGUUGCACCACGUCAUUGUGACCAACUCUAAGCCUUUCCUUUAGUACCACUAGUAAAUUAAACUAUUUCACAUAUACUUAUAAAGUAUUAAAUAGUUUUCUUAAACAACAAUGAACAUUUUCAUGUACUGCACUUUGGAUACAAUUAAAACAUAAUAUAUAAUUCCUACUUGAAUUAUAUAUUACUCUCUUUUAAUCUCCUUGUAAUAAACUAUCAAAUGCACUUUUAAUUUUAUAUAAAUCAAUCAAUUAAUGGGUCUAAAUUAAUCCCCAAAUUGAUCAAAACCCAUAAAAGAAAAGGUGCAAUUAACAGUAAGUUUACAGAUUUUAGCAGAAGUUAGAACAGAAGAAGAUCAUGGAAAGUAAGCAAGUUUCUCUUAAGUUCCCCUUCUCAAGUUCGCUACUAGCUAAAUAAAUGAUACCAUGCAUCUCAAGCUGUCAAGCAUACAAGCUCUUUAUGUAGAAAGACGAGUGUUUUAUGGAAGAUGAAUGCCUUAGCAUCACAUAGGUUUAGUGUAAAGCUAAGUUACAUGGACUCCUCGUAUGGAGUGUUUAAUCGGACAUUAAUUGGUACUUAGCAAAGUCCGACACAGAUAUUCUUCUAAAUUUUUACUUUAAAAUGAAAUGUUCAACACUCGUAUAAGUGUCGAACACAAAUACUCUUGAACAAAGGGAAGAAAACAUGUAAUAUAAUUAAGUGUAUGCAGAAUAGGCAUGCAUGCUUACCAGUUGCUACUGUCUAGCCAUCAAUUUCAUCCAAGAGAAGCAAUAAGCAAACUUUCAGCACCCAAAUCAUCAUCUCCUACUACUCUUUUUUUUUUUGUUAUUAUACAUCAGUUUUCUGUAACCAAUACAUCACCUUACACUCGGUGUUAAAAAAAAAGAAAAAAAGAAACAGAAAAACAUAACCAAAGAUUUGAGUCAAGGAACAAAAAAGGGUUAAGAAAUGGUAAUUUUGAUAGAACUAAAAUAAAAAAAAAUCAAUCACACAAAUCGGUUAAAUGGCUUCCUCCCAAAUACAGCAGGCAUGGAUAAAGUUGAAUCGACACUUUGAUCCCCUAUAGAAUGCAGAGGCUGGUGUUUUUCCAACACCCUUGGAGAAGUAGAAUCUUUGGUAGACCCUUUGUUCCACUUAAAUGGCCCGAUGCUUGGAGUCAUAGGAAAUGAAAACCUCCUCUUUGAUGUCUCACUGCCAGGAGUCCCCGGAAACCUCUCCUUGGGAUUACUAUUUGGUCUCACCUUUGCUUUUGCUGAAGCAGUCGGUGUCAUGUAAUUCGGGACAGAAAACGGGGGGCAGCUCAUCAGGCUGUCAUCAUCUUUCAGUGGUACGUCAAAUGUUGAAUCUGCUGCACUAUUUCUUGGUCUUGAAUAUUUCAUCAAAUUUGAGUUGCUUGUUGGUGGUGUUCUACUAGGAGUAAACAUUUGUCUUGUUCGCAAAGGUACAGUUGAUUUUGGUGUGGGAGUUUCAAAAUUGUCAUACCCCGAAUUAUGUUGCCUGUAGUUGCUUGAUUGAGGUCGAGGGCUGGGCUUGUUCUCUGGAGUUGACCUUAAAGGUGUCAGAAGAAAAUUUUUCAUGGGUUGGGUUUCUGAGGGAUUCGCGGAAGGGAGCUGACGUUCCAUCCAGGUCCACCACCAAGGAAAUCCACCUGAUCUGAAAUCCAUUAGAGGUGUUUGACCGGAAUUCUGAUUUCCCUUCAUCAACUGAUGGCAGAGAGAUCAAAUGUUAGAAGGCGAACAAGAU
rnacentral:lncRNA from 1 species